rnacentral:rRNA from 1 species
AUUGAACGCUGGCGGCAGGCCUAACACAUGCAAGUCGAGCGAGCGGCGGACGGGUGAGUAAUGUAUGGGGACUGCCCGAUAGAGGGGGAUAAAUACUGGAAACGGUGGCUAAUACCGCAUUCUAUCGGAUAACCCAUAUGGGAUUAGCUAUGAGAUUGGGUAAAGGCUCACCUAGGCGACGAUCUCUAGCUGGUCGGCGAGGAUGAUCAGCAACCCUGGGACGGAGACACGGCCCAGUCUCGUAGGGAGGCAGCAGGGGAGAAUAUUGCACAAGGGGCUGAAGCCUGAUGGAGCCAUGCGGCGUGAAUGAAGAAGGCCUUAGGGUUGUAAAGUACUUUUAGCGGGGAGGCGUUACCCGCAGAAGAAGCACCGGCUAACUCCGUGCCAGCAGCCGCGGUAAUAC